rnacentral:rRNA from 1 species
UGUAGCUUGAUAUUGAGUGUUGGUACCGCUUGUACAGGAUAGGUAGGAGCCGUAGAGAUCGGAACGCUAGUUUCGAUGGAGGCAUUGGUGGGAUACUACCCUAGCUGUAUGAACACUCUAACCCGCGCCACUGAUCGUGGCGGGAGACAGUGUCAGGUAGGCAGUUUGACUGGGGCGGUCGCCUCCUAAAAUGUAACGGAGGCGCCCAAAGGUUCCCUCAGAAUGGUUGGAAAUCAUUCGCAGAGUGUAAAGGUAGAAGG